rnacentral:rRNA from 1 species
AAUCAACGCUGGCGGCGUGCUUAACACAUGCAAGUCGAACGAGAACGGGUUAUAGCUUGCUAUAAUUGUCAGCUAAGUGGCGCACGGGUGAGUAAUGUAUAGGUAAUAUGCCUCUUACUAAGGGAUAACAAAUGGAAACGUUUGCUAAUACCUUAUACUCCUUAUUAACAGAAGUUAAUAAGGGAAAGAUUUAUUGGUAAGAGAUUAGCCUGUAUUGUAUCAGUUAGUUGGUGGGGUAAUGGCUUACCAAGACUAUGACACAUAACUGGUUUGAGAGGAUGAUCAGUCACACUGGAACUGAGACACGGUCCAGACUCCUACGGGAGGCAGCAGUGGGGAAUAUUGCACAAUGGACGAAAGUCUGAUGCAGCAACGCCGCGUGGAGGAUGACACAUUUCGGUGCGUAAACUCCUUUUAUAUGAGAAGGUAAUGACGGUAUUAUAUGAAUAAGCACCGGCUAACUCCGUGCCAGCAGCCGCAGUAA